rnacentral:rRNA from 1 species
AUUAAAGAGUUCUAUAACUCCCAAACCCAUGUGAACAUACCUAACGUUGCCUCGGCAGGUCGCACCUACCUUGUAGCACCCUACCCUGUAGGGCCUACCCGGGAGGUGCGGGUAAGCCUGCCGGCGGCCCACCAAACUCUGUUUGAUAUUGAAUUCUGAACCUAUAACUAAAUAAGUUAAAACUUUCAACAACGGAUCUCUUGGUUCUGGCAUCGAUGAAGAACGCAGCGAAAUGCGAUAAGUAAUGUGAAUUGCAGAAUUCAGUGAAUCAUCGAAUCUUUGAACGCAUAUUGCGCCCAUUAGUAUUCUAGUGGGCAGGACCGUUCGAGCGUCAUUUCAACCCUUAAGCCUUCGUUGCUUAGUGUUGGGAGCCUACGGCAACGUAGCUCCUCAAAGUUAGUGGCGGAGUUGGUUCACACUCUAGACGUAGUAAUUUUUUAUCUCGCCUAUUAGUUGGACUAAUCCCCUGCCGUAAAACCCCUAAUUUAUCAAGGUUGACCUCGAAUCGGUUCAGACAAACUCGCUAAAUUGAAGCAUCUUAGUCAGCGAAGGAAAAGAAACCAACAGGGAUUGCCCUAGUAACGGCGAGUGAAGCGGCA